GGGUUGUGAGGUUAAGCGACUAAGCGUACACGGUGGAUGCCCUGGCAGUCAGAGGCGAUGAAGGACGUGCUAAUCUGCGAUAAGCGCCGGUAAGGUGAUAUGAACCGUUAUAACCGGCGAUUUCCUUAGUGGAAGCGUCUGGAAAGGCGCGCGAUACAGGGUGACAGCCCCGUACACAAAAGCGCAUGUGCUGUGAGCUCGAUGAGUAGGGCGGGACACGUGGUAUCCUGUCUGAAUAUGGGGGGACCAUCCUCCAAGGCUAAAUACUCCUGACUGACCGAUAGUGAACCAGUACCGUGAGGGAAAGGCGAAAAGAACCCCGGCGAGGGGAGUGAAAAAGAACCUGAAACCGUGUACGUACAAGCAGUGGGAGCACAGGUUUACCUGUGUGACUGCGUACCUUUUGUAUAAUGGGUCAGCGACUUAUAUUCUGUAGCAAGGUUAACCGAAUAGGGGAGCCGGAGGGAAACCGAGUCUUAAYYGGGCGUUAAGUUGCAGGGUAUAGACCCGAAACCCGGUGAUCUAGCCAUGGGCAGGUUGAAGGUUGGGUAACACUAACUGGAGGACCGAACCGACUAAUGUUGAAAAAUUAGCGGAUGACCUGUGGCUGGGGGUGAAAGGCCAAUCAAACCGGGAGAUAGCUGGUUCUCCCCGAAAGCUAUUUAGGUAGCGCCUCGUGAAUUCAUCUCCGGGGGUAGAGCACUGUUUCGGCUAGG
rnacentral:rRNA from 1 species